rnacentral:rRNA from 7 species
GUAAGCGCUGUGAGGCGUUGAGCUAACCAAUACUAAUUGCCCGUGAGGCUUGACCAUAUAACACCCAAGCAAUU